UGGGGAAUUUUGGACAAUGGGCGCAAGCCUGAUCCAGCAAUGCCGCGUGCAGGAUGAAGGCCUUCGGGUUGUAAACUGCUUUUGUACGGAACGAAAAAGCUCUCUCUAAUACAGGGGGUGAAUGACGGUACCGUAAGAAUAAGCACCGGCUAACUACGUGCCAGCAGCCGCGGUAAUACGUAGGGUGCAAGCGUUAAUCGGAAUUACUGGGCGUAAAGCGUGCGCAGGCGGUUUUGUAAGACAGAGGUGAAAUCCCCGGGCUCAACCUGGGAACUGCCUUUGNGACUGCAAAGCUGGAGUGCGGCAGAGGGGGAUGGAAUUCCGCGUGUAGCAGUGAAAUGCGUAGAUAUGCGGAGGAACACCGAUGGCGAAGGCAAUCCCCUGGGCCUGCACUGACGCUCAUGCACGAAAGCGUGGGGAGCAAACA
rnacentral:rRNA from 1 species